CGUUGGGCUUGGUGCACGCGCCCAAGAGGUUGACCACGUUGAGGUGGUUACCGAUGUGGAUUAGGAUCUUGAGCUCCGACAUCAGGGCGCGGUGCUCGCUGGCUGUGGCGCCCUCUGGAGGGGACACGGGGGCUUCGCGCGGUGCCGGGCCCGCCGCCCCCACCCCUGCCGCCGGCCCAGACGAGGCGCAGCUAGGGCGCCUGCCGCGGCGGGCCAGGGUCCCCGGCUUGACCCGCUCGCCUCCUGAGGCCGCAGUUCCAGGCCGGAUUGGGAAGGACUGCUCAGAUCUGAGUCUAACGCCUCCGUGAAAAGCCCGGGGUAGACUCUGGCUCUGUGCCUCGGUUUCCCCUCCUGAACCACGGCCCCACCAGCCCACUCAGAGUCGCUGACCCCGCACCUUUCAGCAUUUUCACAGCCACGGUGUCACAGCUGCUGCCCUUGUGAAUUCCAAAAGCCGAGGCUUCCACCACCUUCCCGAAGGCUCCAUGGCCUAGGACUCUCCCUGUGGGAGCGGGGAGCCGGGUCCAGGCUGUGAAUGGCCUAGAGAGACCCCACAGGAGCAGUGAAGAGGCUCAGUUGGGGGAGGAGCACUCACCCUCCUCAUGUUACAGAAGAUGAGGAGAAGGAGGACCCAGAAGAAGACAGCGAUGACCCCAGUGCCGACAAGGAUCACGAUCUCCAUGCUGCCUUUAUCCUCGGAGCCUGUGCGGGCAGAAAAGGGGCCAGUCUGCGUACGCUGCACAGAUAGCGGCCCGCGUCCUCCUCACGCACGCGCUGUAUGCUGAGCUUCUGGUUCGAGUCUGCCAGGUCGAUUCCUGUAGGGGACGGUGUGUGGCUUCGAGUUCAAGUAGGUCUAGGGCCUUGACCUGGUAAGCGUCUGCACCCCGCCCUUCGCCCCGGGGUCCACCACUCUACCGGACUCUUCCUCCAGCAGCCUCUCGUCUUUGUACCACAAGAUACUGGGCACGUGUGCCCCGGCCACCGGGCACCUCAUCUCCAGGGAGUCGCUCACGUUCACCAGGAGGUACUUCUUGUGGCAGUGCUUGUCGUGGCUGCGACGGUCCUGCACCUCGCAUACGUAGUCGCCUUCGUGCUCAGGUGCCACGCUGGGGAUGGUCAGGCUGAGCGUGGUGUGGCGCGCCCCUGGCGCCACCUCCUCCAGGCGGGCUGCCAGCGGCGUAGCGAAGAGGUGCACGUUUUUGCAGUCGAGCAGCAGCGGGUUCCCAUGAGCAUCGUGCAGCGUGGACAAGUUGAGGCGGUACCAACGCAGAUGCUCGUAGGUGUAGUUGUCUGCCCGGCAGCUCAGGCGCACCUCUUGGCCCUCUAGGGGCUCCUCCGAUGGUUCGGAUUCUAUGCUGAAGCCAUCGGGGAUGUCUGCGGAGCGAGGAGGAGCCUCUGUGACGGGCACCCGGAGCUGGCUCACCCACCUGCCCACGCUGGUGCUUGCUCUCGCUUUUCCAACUGCUUUUGAACUCACUCUGCCCUCAGCCAAGACUUGUACCACCUAAGUCUGGACUGGGGACUUUCUGGGUACUCUUUUCCCCAGCACUGACCAACGGGGCCCUCCCUGAAGUCAGCCCCACUGACUUCUCCUGCCUCACCUUCUUCUAGCUCUCUACCGUCUGAGCCCCAACCUGGCUGCUGCCCCUACACUCCCGGGAGCCCAGGUCAUCCGUGUGGUUCUUGUCAGCACACUUGGUGCGGUCCCGUUGCAUCCUGCCUUGCUGCUGACCACGCUCCACCACUGGCCUCUCCUUGAAAUUAUCUUGUUGUUUCAUUAGCUUGUGGCAAUGCCUCGCUCCUGAUUCCUUUUGUCUGUCUGGCCACACUCCUUGUCAGGCUUGUGUGGGCUCCUCUCCCCUCCUCCCUCCUGCAGGGUUCUCUCUGGCCCCAUGUCCCUUCCAGGUGCCUCAUUUACACUCCUGGGCCCAGCAACUGUCCCUUUAAUGGGCUUCUUAGCUUUCCUGGGGUCACUAACACAUUUGAAAAUUGGACGAAACUAUGGACCUUUCCCCCGGGAAGUGUACCUGUGAGCCAGCUGCUCUGUUGGAAGGGGACUGGGAGGGAGGUGGAGCCAUAGGGAGAGGAAGGGCACCGGUGGGGAGGCACCUCCAAGGCUGGAGGCAGAGAGUGCCACUCCAUGCUGGAGGAUCAGCACCCCAGUCCAUAGGCUCAUGACCUCCAAAUCUAUCCUGCCUGCUCAGACCCAGGGGCCCAGUGGGCCCUAAGUAUCUCUCCUGGACACCCCACUUCAUCAGAAACUCAAUGGGCCCGACCUGGCCUCACUGUCCUCUCUCAGGCCUUCUCGCCUUCCUCUUGUUCCUGACCUCCACCCAGACCUGCCCAGGUCACUCACUGGUCACGUAGAAGUAGAUGAGCCGCUCGUCCUGGCCCACUUUGUUGAAGACCACACACUUGUACAUGGCAGACACGUUGGCAUCCUGGAUCACCAGCUUGCUCACCGUCUAAGCAGAGCACAAGCACACGGAUCCAUGUCCUGCCCAAGUUCCUCCCAGCUUGACCGUCCUCCCUACCUGCAGGGAGGCUGCCAUGGUCAGCUGAGUAUCAGGGAUGCUAGAGGCCCAGAGCUGAGAAGGACCAAAGCUCAGAGGCAGGACCCGGAAGGGUGAGGUGGGGAGUGGAAGGUGAAGCCCUUGCACAGCAGAGGUGGCUCUCUGGGAAAGUCCAGGGCAUAGCUAUGAACAGCUGGCAUCGGCUGUGGCUGAGGUCCGAGGACAAUGUUAGGCUGAGCAAGAGGGACCUCUGGGCAUGGAUGGGCUGGGGCUCUGGCCAUGUUGAGCAAGGGCACAGACCCAGCAAGCACUGGGCUAUGAUUUGGAGGGCAGGGCAAGGCUGGUCACUGUGUAAGAUCCUUGUGAUGUGCCACGUGUCCUGGGGCUGCUCACACCACCUCUCUCAGGGCCCUGCAUGGUGGCCAGCGAAGGGAAUGAGAAUGGGUCCCAGAUCUCCAGAAGGCCUCUGGCCUGGGCAGUAAGAAGCUUGGAGGCAGGGGGAGGAGAGAAGGCCUUAGGCCCUGCCUACCAUCCAAACAACCUCUCCCCCAACCCCCCUUCCAAGCUGGGCACUUCCUGGCCAGGCCUGGAACAGGAAGAGGCUCUGGAGGUGUGCAGGAAAACAGGAAGUGACUGUAGGAAGUGGGUGCCUUUGUUUGUCCCCUCCCCCGCCUGGCCCCUUCUAGGCACUGCCUCCAGGCUGGGCCAGCAGCUUGGUUGCCUUCAGAGGGGACCUAGCUGGCCGUGGGCCUGACCUUCCUAGCCCUAGGGCCUGUGGGUGGCUGGGGCCCAGGACCUGGCCAGGCCACCUUCCAUCAAAGCUUCCCUGUCUGGAAAGCAGCUAGAGGUCCCUCCCCUCCAAUGCACAUAUAGGAAGGGUAGCUGAGGCCCAGAAACACUGCAGAAAGACCACCAACUCUCAGAACUCUGCAGGCCUGGUAGAGAUGGAAGCCAGGAGAUGGCCCUCCCCACCUCCCUUCUCCUUCCCUGUCAGUGGCAUGGCUGGCGUGUACCUUAUUCUUCCCCUCCACAAACUCGGUCCAGGUGUCCAGGCUCUCGAUGGGGUUCACGGCAUCCUGGGUGGUCACCUCUCGCCAGUCCUGGCACUGUGGCAUGUGGUCUCUCUGCUGCCGCCGGCUGCUUAGGCAAAGGGUUGCUGCCCUCAGAGUAGCACAUACCUGUGGCCCUGUGGUUCAUCUCUAGCCUGCUCUACCCACCAUCCCCUACUUGAGAUGUGCCUCUUCCUGCAAAGUCCACCUGGAUCUCCCAGGGGUAGCAAAGUCACCACUUCUGUUCCAGGAAGCCAUCUCUCUCCUUCCAGAGCUGCAGCCCCUUCCUGGGCUGGAUGUGACCCCAGUACCUUUGGUCUUUUGUUGGAAUAUGGGUCUGGGACCCCAGGGGAGGCUUUUAUCUGCCCCCAGCAAGACCCCAACCCCAGGGUUCUUUUUUUUUUUUAAAUAAAAGAUUUUAUUCAUGAGACA